rnacentral:lncRNA from 9 species
CUCCCUAUGAAUCUCCAAAAAGGACAAAAUGACCUGAAGAGUAUUUGUCUCUCUUUCCAGAUUGACUGAUGGCUAUUUGCACCACUCUAGAUGGAUUCGAAGUUUCUUCUUGCCAAAUGCAUCACUCAAGUUUAACUUCAUCUCAUACUAAGUCAUGAACCCCAUUCUUCACUAAUGACCAUCCACGUACUCCUUUUUUGGGGAUACCUUCUUCUCAUUUGCUCUUUUUGUUUCCUAUACUUUUGCUCAUCACUGUAGCUCUGAACCUUGGAAAGGGCCAUGGAAUCUAACCUGCAGAAGCAAAGUGUCUGACUCUGACAUCAUUCUGGAGUCAUCGAAAAUUCAAUAGCUGUAGCAAGAUUAUUUUGUGUGACACCUAUAUCUCCCCCAGCACAAUCUGGAGCCUUGCCAUCGCUGAGAUUAUAAUUCUGAGCCAAUCCUUUAUGAUUAAGGUUUAACUUCAGAUGUGAAACACUUUCAGAAAAUGUGGACUCUUCUGUGAUUUGGGAGUGGAAAUCCUUUAUCCAAUAUGCAUAAAUUUACUAAGCCUGAGAAAUUCAGUGCUAUGUAGUCAGGCUUGCAAUCUUCAUCUAGGAAUUCAGGAGAUUAUCUUCUCUAUGUAAAGAGUUCCCCAUGUUCACAUUCCCUUCAGAGAAGAUUUAAUUUGGUCUUAGAUGGGCACAAGCAAAGUAUAUUCUGAACCUCACACUUAAUCUCUUAACUGAUGUGAAUUACAAAUGUAUAAAUCACUUCAAUUCACUUUCUAGAUCAUUCAGGAUACAUCCCUGGAUGAUGUAUUGCGUGGAGAGGUUCUAGUUCCUUGCUCUUGAACCUGGAGACCAGCAGGACAAUGUUGGUACUAGAGAGAAGUCAAAGAAGAAGGAAACUAGAGCCACCCUGGAUGAAAUGCCUGGAUGUACAGAAUUACGUCAUAAGAAAUGCCAGAGGAAGUUCUUCAGACCAGAGUAAAAGGACAUGAGAUGGAAACUUAGAUCCACAGGGAAGAAUAAACAGCACUGAAAAUGGU